rnacentral:rRNA from 1 species
AUACGUAGGGAGCGAGCGUUGUCCGGAUUUACUGGGUGUAAAGGGCGUGUAGGCGGGACUGCAAGUCAGAUGUGAAAAUUAUGGGCUCAACCCAUAACCUGCAUUUGAAACUGUGGUUCUUGAGUGAUGGAGAGGCAGGCGGAAUUCCGUGUGUAGCGGUGAAAUGCGUAGAUAUACGGAGGAACACCAGUGGCGAAGGCGGCCUGCUGGACAUUAACUGACGCUGAGGUGCGAAAGCGUGGGGAGC